ACAGAGUUAAAAACUUGUUAUGCCAAAACCAGUAAACAAGAAUGUCAAACACACAUACUUGUCUGAGGAAAAUAAUAAUUAAUGCACAGUUUCAAUUACAAAACCCACGAUCUCUAGAACAACUUGAUCGAGAAACAAAUAGGCGGCAACACAUACACGUAAUCACAUUAUGUGUAUGCAAGAACAAUCACGAAGCUGUGAUUAAUUGAUGAAAAAGGAAUUGUGUGCCUCGUGGCCCCUACCGCCGCUCCAGCCACGCGUGUGCCUCCGCGGCCGCAUGCUACAGUGAGCGGCCACUCAAAGAAAGGCCUCGCCUCGUGAGUGUGGGGCUCGGCUGCCACUCCUCCAAACUUCCAAAUCCACCACCAGAGCCCCAAUGGCUGCCGCCGGAGACUCCAAGUCAGAGUACCGCUAGGUCCUGCUCAAUCGCCGCCGUGAACACCGAGCUCGUCGCGACCCAGUCCUAGUGCCUCUGACCAUGGAGCAAAGGAGUCCGCUGAAGGAGCUAUUGUACCAAGGCAACGAUCCUGUGUCUCCGAAAGAUCAGGAUCCUCCAUCGAUCUGAGCAAACAUGUUCCACCUUCCAGAUCUAAGUGAUUGUGUUGAUUUUGCUGAUUUUUCAAGACAUGGAGUCGUGCCCGAGGAAAAAGGUAUCAAGUGGAUACAGUGCACAUUGCACACUACUUGCAUCUUCGCAGUUGAAAUUGAGAUCAGUGAAAACCAACUACAUUUGAGCAGGCCAAAAGGUAAUAGAGGAGCAGUGGUAGUAGUCUGUGUUUUGUAUAGGUGCUCGUUUCAUGUCAAUGCUUGUCAUAUACAAAUACAGAUUGGUAUUGCAUACAUGUGCUUCAGUUAGCACAUUUGGUCC